CGGGUGAGGACUACAUGGGUAACCUACCCUCGAGUGGGGAAUAACUAGCCGAAAGGUUAGCUAAUACCGCGUACGCUUCCGGGACUGCGGUUUCGGAAGGAAAGCGAUACCGUGGGUAUCGCGCUCUUGGAUGGGCUCAUGCCCUAUCAGCUUGUUGGUGAGGUAACGGCUCACCAAGGCUUCGACGGGUAGCUGAUCUGAGAGGAUGAUCAGCCACACUGGCACUGCGACACGGGCCAGACUCCUACGGGAGGCAGCAGUAAGGAAUAUUGCGCAAUGGGCGAAAGCCUGACGCAGCGACGCCGCGUGGGGGAUGAAGGUCUUCGGAUUGUAAACCCCUUUCGGGAGGGAAGAUGGGAUGGGGUAACCCAUUCGGACGGUACCUCCAGAAGCAGCCACGGCUAACUUCGUGCCAGCAGCCGCGGUAAUACGAAGGUGGCAAGCGUUGUUCGGAUUUACUGGGCGUACAGGGAGCGUAGGCGGUUGGAUAAGCCCUCCGUGAAAUCUCCAGGCUUAACCUGGAAAGUGCAGAGGGGACUGUUCAGCUAGAGGAUGGGAGAGGAGCGCGGAAUUCCCGGUGUAGCGGUGAAAUGCGUAGAGAUCGGGAGGAAGGCCGGUGGCGAAGGCGGCGCUCUGGAACAUUUCUGACGCUGAGGCUCGAAAGCGUGGGGAGCAAACAGGAUUAGAUACCCUGGUAGUCCACGCCUUAAACGAUGGA
rnacentral:rRNA from 1 species